GACGAACGCUGGCGGCGUGCUUAACACAUGCAAGUCGAACGGUAAGGCCCUUCGGGGUACACGAGUGGCGAACGGGUGAGUAACACGUGGGUGAUCUGCCCUGCACUUCGGGAUAAGCCUGGGAAACUGGGUCUAAUACCGGAUAGGACUCCUGGCUUCAUGGUUGGGGGUGGAAAGCUUUUGCGGUGUGGGAUGGGCCCGCGGCCUAUCAGCUUGUUGGUGGGGUAAUGGCCUACCAAGGCGACGACGGGUAGCCGGCCUGAGAGGGUGACCGGUCACACUGGGACUGAGAUACGGCACAGACUCAUACGGGAGGCAGCAGUGGGGAAUAUUGCACAAUGGGCGCAAGCCUGAUGCAGCGACGCCGCGUGAGGGAUGACGGCCUUCGGGUUGUAAACCUCUUUCAGCUAUGACGAAGCGCAAGUGACGGUAGUAGCAGAAGAAGGACCGGCCAACUACGUGCCAGCAGCCGCGGUAA
rnacentral:rRNA from 1 species